rnacentral:sRNA from 1 species
CGCUCCCAUCUCCAUCCCUGUGCCCCUUUCCGUUGCAGUUGGCUUGGAUGCGGCUGGCAAGACCACAAUCCUGUACAAACUGAAGUUGGGGGAGAUUGUCACCACCAUCCCAACCAUAGGCUUCAAUGUAGAAACAGUGGAAUAUAAGAACAUCUGUUUCACAGUCUGGGACGUGGGAGGCCAGGACAAGAUUCGGCCUCUGUGGCGGCACUACUUCCAGAACACUCAGGUGGAGUGUUGGGAGGGGACUUUCUAACCCCACGGGAAAAGGUGUUAGGGCUGGGAGAACAGAAUUGUUGGCCUAGGCUGGGCCCCCAGGCCAAGGAAAAAACCCUUCCCCACUUCUACCCCUUCUGUUUGGCUACCCCCUACUCACUCUUCAGAACUCACCUUAGUCUUCCCCAGCUUGGACUUCUCUUUAGAAGCAGGAUUCUGGGACCAGGCUGCCUGAUUUAGCCCUCAUAAC